GAUGAACGCUGGCGGCGUGCCUAAUACAUGCAAGUCGAGCGAACAGACGAGGAGCUUGCUCCUCUGACGUUAGCGGCGGACGGGUGAGUAACACGUGGAUAACCUACCUAUAAGACUGGGAUAACUUCGGGAAACCGGAGCUAAUACCGGAUAAUAUAUUGAACCGCAUGGUUCAAUAGUGAAAGACGGUUUUGCUGUCACUUAUAGAUGGAUCCGCGCCGCAUUAGCUAGUUGGUAAGGUAACGGCUUACCAAGGCAACGAUGCGUAGCCGACCUGAGAGGGUGAUCGGCCACACUGGAACUGAGACACGGUCCAGACUCCUACGGGAGGCAGCAGUCGGGAAUCUUCCGCAAUGGGCGAAAGCUUGACGGAGCAACGCCGCGUGAGUGAUGAAGGUCUUCGGAUCGUAAAACUCUGUUAUUAGGGAAGAACAAAUGUGUAAGUAACUAUGCACGUCUUGACGGUACCUAAUCAGAAAGCCACGGCUAACUACGUG
rnacentral:rRNA from 1 species